rnacentral:ncRNA from 1 species
GAACGCCGUGUGCCGUGAAAGUGGCACGCACGGUGUGGAUCGGGGGAAAAGGUGGAGAUAAUAUCAAAACCUUACCUAUCGAUAU